CACGUAGGGGCCAAGCGUUGUCCGGAUUUAUUGGGCGUAAAGCGCACGUAGGCGGCUUUUUAAGUCAGGGGUGAAAUCCUGGAGCUCAACUCCAGAACUGCCUUUGAUACUGGGAAGCUUGAGUCCGGGAGAGGUGAGUGGAACUCCGAGUGUAGAGGUGAAAUUCGUAGAUAUUCGGAAGAACACCAGUGGCGAAGGCGGCUCACUGGCCCGGUACUGACGCUGAGGUGCGAAAGCGUGGGGAGCAAACAGG
rnacentral:rRNA from 1 species